GACUUUUGACAACCGAUUUUUUGGCUUUCGCAUCGAUUAAAAACCUAGUGAAAAUCGAUUCUUGGUGGGAAUUGCAAAAUCCCCUUAACCCUUCAAUUUUUUAACCCAAGGUGCCCCCCAAACCUUCUUGGCGAAGGGACCUUUUCCUUGGGGUU
rnacentral:rRNA from 1 species